rnacentral:lncRNA from 1 species
CAGCUAAGCCUUCCAGAUGGAUCACAUAUGAUAGCCUGUGCACUUGACUGAAGUUUUAGAGACUGAUAAGACUGUGGAGUGUACACGGCUUAUGAAAGGAAUUGUAUCAAGUCAGAAAGGAUAUUUGUUUGAGACUGUAUGCCUGCUCACUCUGAUAUUGCUUUUUAACGUACUAGGGGAUAGAAAGUCCCAAAAAAACUAAAUUUGGUUUCAUAUUUCAUUAAAUGUCAACUUAAGGCACAUUGCAGUGUCUGUGAGAUCCUGAAGUUCUUUUGCCAGGAGUCUGAUAGCAAGAAGAAUUUGAGAAGAUGUUUUUUUCUCUCUGGAAGAUUAGGCCUGCGUACAUAAGGUCAUUGCAGGCCCAAGCAUCAAAGAAAGGGGUGAUCUACACAACAGACGCAUUGCUCCAACAUACAGCUUUGCUCCUGGGAAUGCUUGGGAUUGGUUUCUCUUGCUAUGGCACUCAUCAACUGACCCAAGGGAAGCAGCGGACCUGAAAACUUACAUUUGUGUUGGAACAUGGACCUAUAAGUGAACCUUUACACCGGGGAAAUAAACUUUUUUUCCCUCAAUUUUUUACCUUUUCU